rnacentral:rRNA from 1 species
CGUGUAGGUGGCUAGGUAAGUCAGAUGUGAAAGUCCCGGGCUCAACUCGGGAAGUGCAUUUGAAACUGCUUGGCUUGAGUAAGAGAGAGGAAAGUGGAAUUCCUGGUGUAGAGGUGAAAUUCGUAGAUAUCAGGAGGAACACCGGUGGCGAAGGCGACUUUCUGGCUCUAUACUGACGCUGAGACGCGAAAGCGUGGGUAGCAAACAGGAUUAGAUACCCUGGUAGUCC